UCAAACCAAAGCUGGCGACCGGCGCACGGGUAAGUAACACGUAUCCAACCUGCCUCAUACUCGGGGAUAGCCUUUCGAAAGAAAGAUUAAUAUCCGAUAGCAUAUAUUUCCCGCAUGGGUUUUAUAUUAAAGAAAUUCGGUAUGAGAUGGGGAUGCGUUCCAUUAGUUUGUUGGGGGGGUAACGGCCCACCAAGACUACGAUGGAUAGGGGUUCUGAGAGGAAGGUCCCCCACAUUGGAACUGAGACACGGUCCAA
rnacentral:rRNA from 1 species